ensembl:lncRNA
CUGUUGGAAGUACCAUCAGAAGGACCCUACAGCCAGCCUGGCUUGUCCCAGUCAGACCAGCUGGCAAUGGCUCAUUCAUUUUAGUGUUUAUUGUAGUCCCCCUGGUCCCCAUUUCCAGUCCUGGGUUGUGUGUGUUUCAGGGGCAGACUGGAGCAGGACCCCCAAGUCCCUGCCAUACCACCCAUAAUCACUGGAGGGUCUUCCUCUGUCUCAGUCUCCACCUUUCAGCCUCUAGCCAGCUGUUGCCCUAAUUCCCCUCUAUUAGUCCUGCAAGUUCAAUCCACUUCUUCCAGGAAGCCUGCCAGACUGCCCCAUCUGGCAGAUGAAGAAGUUAUUCUUUGUUGAGCCAUUGCAGCGUUGGAACUGGGAGAAGGAAGGGGCUUGGAGGCCCAGCCACAUUGUACCUCUGCUGCUGCUGCUGCUGCUGCUAAGUCGCUUCAGUCGUGUCCGACUCUGUGAGACCCCAUACCAGGAUGUGCUCUCUGAAACCAAUCAGAGUAAGAGUUACUCAUGUGCUGUGACUGCGGAGCUGGUGAGCCUUGGAGCCUCAGGGUAAGUUCUCUGAGUCUCAGAAUUGGUCCCCAGACCAGCAGCAUCACCCAGGAACUUGUUAGAAAUGUCAACUCUAACACCAGACCUGCAUGAGACACUCUGGAGGAGCGGGAGCAAUCCUCUUGUGAUCCUGAUGCUUCAGAAGAUCAUGAACCACUGGGCUCAACGAUGCUAGUUCCUCGCAUCCACACUCAGACACCUGUCCCCCAGCAAGCUCAGGAAGCCCCACAUUCCCCACACUGGCUUUGGUUCACCCUGAGGAGGGUUCCUGCCCCCAAGACUCAGUAUCUCCCCAGAGAAGGCGGGGCUAACAGCUCUACCGCCCUUUCAGGUCCUAUCACCUGCCUCAAAUAUGUCUCCUGCCUUUCUACCAUGUCACCCCUUGAUGCCCUUGAGACUGCCCCCCUGGAAGCCUCUUGGGUCUUCUAUAGAGCAGGGACCCUACCUGCCACCUCUUCCUUUGCUCACUUCCCCACCAAGACCCAGCCCUCAUUCACCUGGCCUCCUCACCCUCCAUGUGUCUGGGGCAAGCCCUAAAUCUUUCCUUGUGUGGCUCUAGGGAAGUGGCUUCUUCCUUCUCAGGGCUUGUGUGUGCCCUCUCAUAAGGAGGAGAAGCCCUCCCAGAACCUGCCUAAGGUCCUGGACAAGGUCAGUGGAUUGCAAGGCAGUGGGCAGUAGGCCACGAACACUGCUCCUCAAGUCCCAGCAAGUGGUCAGACCCCUGAGGUGCCAGGCUUACCGUCCACCCCAGGAGGGGCACAGUCCUCCACCCCUCCUCCUUCCCAGUGGGGUAGUCACAGCAGCUGCCAUCUUCCCUGAUGAAAGCACCUACUGUUCCAGAACCAGCUGCCUGACUCCAUGCUCUGCAAGCUUUGACCCCUGUCUCAUUAAUUCACCCCUCCCCCAACAGUCUGAGGCGCACCCUCAUCCCAGUGUACAGGUUCAGAACUGAUGCCCAGAGAAGUUCUGUGGUUUGACUGCAAUCUCACAGCCAGUACAAGAAUGAAAUUCCAACCCAGAUCUAACUCUUCCUUAACCUCCAAGAGAACAAGAAGGCCACCACUGGAGCAAGGAGCAAUGAGAGGCGGGAAAGCAGAGGCAGCCUGGCUGCUGGCCCCACUCCUUACCAGUGAAUGGCUGUGGGUCUAUCUCAGCUGCCCCAUUUGUAUACUGGGAAUAAUCCCUGCCCUGCCAACCUCACUGGAUUCAAGAACAGAGGUGGAAGCGCAUGGAAAACUGUGGCGGUGUCCAAACGCUGGAACCGAGUGCGUACCAUGCUUUACAGUUUACGAAGUACACGGUAUACGAAGCGCAUCCCUGUGUGACCUCCAGUCACCCUGUCUGAAGCUCAUCAACCCUCUCCAGCAUCAUCGCAAACUGAGGCGGAGGAGUCAGAUGCUAGACGGCAGGGGCCAGGCCAGGAGCCGGGUGCGCCUCCGGCCACGAGCGCAAGGGGGCGCCAUGGGCUCACAGCGAGCUGGGGCGGCGGAACCCACCGCGAGAGAUCGCGUUCCGUACUCUUACAGCAACCAGGCUCCGCAGAGCGCCGGGGGGUGCCCGGGUUCCAGGGGCGACCAGGACGGGUGGAGGAGAGUUGCGCCGAGUCUGAAUUUGAAAUGUGAAGUCCGGAAAGUCAGCUGCCUCUUCCCGCUGUGUGACCUGCCCUGAGACGUUCGACCUCUCUGAGCGUCAGUUAUAAAAUACAAAAAUAUAACUCCCUCCACCGAUGCUGCUCUAACCCAGUCCGCCAAAGGCUCCUGAAACCACAAAAUGAGAACGCUGAUUCAGACUAGCAGUGCAAACUCUAAACCCUCAUCCACACGUAGAAAUUCGCUCCUUUCUCACUCUUUUUGGACUCUGCAUCCGAAGCCCCUCGGAGUCAGCACGCAGGGAUCUCCGCAUUCCCAUUUUACAGAAGCGCAAACGAAGGCUCAGAGAGGUCGCCCUUUCGGGGGUCUUGUGGCUCAUUCGGGCAUACACGGAAUGGUCUCCUGACACCAGCACCGGACUGUCCCUUCCUGGUCCAGCGGCCUCAGGUCCCUGGCAGCACUGACCUCUGCCGACUGGUUCUUAGGCUCCAGGCCUGAGAGCCGCGCCGGUUGAACGCACCCUCUCCGCCCAGGGAACCGGCUCUAUCCCAGUCCCCAGGACCUCGCGUCGCCUGUGUGCCCACGCCACCACCCAGCGUCUACACCUCCGCCACGUGCUGGGCUGUGGCAGAGCCAGGGCUCAGAGAGGUCGGGGCGCUUGUUCCAGGCGGCGCAGCAGGCCAGGGGAACCGCAGCGCAGGAUUGGGGUCGGCUCUAAAACGGAACUGCGGAGGCAGGAGCGGAACGCUUCCGACUCCCGGGUCCUCUUUGUCGGAUCGCGGAUCCCUAGCCCUCGAAGACCCUGGUCCUGCGUACUCGGUCCGUGGCGACUUCCAGUCCACUCCCGGCGCCCAACUCGCCUAGUCUACGCGGAAGGGAACCAGAGAGCCGGAGAAAGCCCCAGGAGCUGGAGGUGGCAGGGUCCGCCCUGGAUCCCCCGGAGCAGGAUUUCUCAGCACACUUGCUCUUCCCUCCCUUCCCCUUUCUUGGGGUCUCUGUGUGUCCCCCUGUCCCGGCUCCCGUUUCCAGUCUCUCUUCUUUCUCGCUCUCUGACCCUAUUGACUCCUUGCCCGGUGUCUCGCACCGCCUUUGUCUCUGUCUCUGCCUCUCCUCGGAUCUCUGUUGGUGAAGCACCCCCCACCCCGCCCCCGCAAAGGAACACACACCGGCAGAAUCCGCCUUUUCAAUAAAAAACGACAACUGGGAAACAGAGUGAAUUAAAAAGCAUUAACUUAAAAACAAUCCAUGUGUCUGCAAAUGCGUUCCAAAUGGCAGCCCUUCGGCGGGGGUGGGGGGAGAAGGGGGGACG